CUUGGUGAUAGUUUCACGGAUACGUCCUGAUGGAUCACCAACCACAUUGAGCAGGAAUGGGCUUCCUGUAGGAACACGUGUUAUUUGAUCUGUGGCGCUAUGCCACGCAUUACCUAUAACGUGUUCGUCGGCGAAGCGGAUGUUGAGGAUGUAGAUGCCAGGCUCAUGGGGGCUGUAGUGGAUCUCGUACUGGCGGUUUUCGGAGG